rnacentral:rRNA from 1 species
AACGAACGCUGGCGGCGUGGAUUAGGCAUGCAAGUCGAACGCAAGCUUAGAUGAACAAUCCUUCGGGAAAGGGAAUCUUUGUGAGAGUGGCGGAAGGGUGAGUAACACGUAAAUAAUCUGCCCUUAAGUUGGGAAUAACGACUCGAAAGAGACGCUAAUUCCGAAUGUGGAUAUAGUAUGGCAUCUUAUUAUAUCUAAAGGUGGGGACCUUCGGGCCUGCCGCUUAAGGAGGAGUUUGCGGCCUAUUAGCUAGUUGGUGGGGUAAGAGCCUACCAAGGCAAUGAUGGGUAGCCGUCCUGAGAGGGUGGUCGGCCACACUGGGACUGAGACACUGCCCAGACUCCUACGGGAGGCUGCAGUCGAGAAUCUUUCGCAAUGGGCGAAAGCCUGACGAAGCGACGCCGCGUGAGCGAUGAAGAUCUUCGGAUUGUAAAGCUCUGUCACAUGGGACGAACCGUAUGUAUGUUAAUAGCGUAUGUAUCUGACGGUACCAUGAGAGGAAGCCCCGGCUAACUUCGUG